CUUCAUGCGUGAUUCAAAUCUCCCACCCAAUGGGGUAGCGCCGGUGCAUUUUUCUAAAUCGCAUAGUCGUUGGCGCCUUUUCCUUUUAUUUGAUUUGAUUUGAUUCCUUUUCUUUUCAUUUUAAUUUCUCACUCAUUUUUUAAUUCAUUUUGAUCCAAUUUUUUACACAAAGUAUCUAAAAAUAAUUUGCAUCACAUAUAUUUUUCUUUUACUUUUUAAAAUCAUUUUGGCAUUUAUUGUUAUUUUUAUUUUUAUUUCCUUUUCCAAUUUAUUUUUCAAGCAUUUUAAAACCUUUUUGCAUCCAACUUUUGAGAUUUAUUUAUGUAUAGUAUUUGGGAC
rnacentral:lncRNA from 1 species